GCUGUACUGGAGUUCAAGCCAAUCACUCUAAUUGCACUCCCAGAAUAACUAGAGCAUUACCUGAUGGAUGUGUAAACUGGGGACUCAUCGCCACGAAAUGUCGCCUAUUCUGAGAGAGGCUCCAGAGCCGUCCAGCUGGACACCAGCCUCUCCGGAAGCUGCCUGUGCCUCCCCGAAGGCGUCGCAGGGCGCGGAGGCACCGCCGCGCCGCCUCCCUUCCGCCCGCGGCAGUUCCGCCCCCUGAGCCGGCUCCGCGCGCGGCUCCCCGGACGGAGCGCCGGAGGCAGCGGGGGCUGGGAGACGCGAGCGCGCGGCGGCAGCGCACCCCCGGGCCCGUGUGGACGACGACCGAGGCUGCGGCGGGACACCCGGAGACGUCAAGGCGAGAGCGUCCCGCUGAGCAGGGCGGGCGCCAAGAGCCGGAGCGAACGGGCCCAGCGGGCGGAGCGGCGCCGCCGCGCCCCCNNNNNNNNNNNNNNNNNNNNCCCCCCCCCCCCCCCAGCCAAUCCCGGCCGACGUUCCGCGUGCGUCACAAGGGCGUCGGUGGCGUCUGUGCUUUCCUGCCCACGUGACUCCGGCCCCGGAAGUCCCCCCUCGAAGGGCCUCGCCGUACUUCCUGCCCCAAAGCGGCUGGUGCUGACAGCCCGCGUUCCUCCGCGCCCGCUCUGUCUUCUGUGGAACCGGAUGGCCCACCGGCUGACACAUACUUGGGGCUCGGGGACAGUCACCACACCAGCUGGACGAGAAGAAACGUCCCAAACCCGCUGGCUCCCCUGUCGCGGGCGCUGCUGUGUCGAGAGGGCGGGGCGCGGGGAUGAGCCUGGGCGCGCGGACCCGCAGGAGGCCCGGGCCCGGCGGCUGCCCGCGGGGAGGACCCCGCUCCGUCUAGAAUUGUCUGUUUCCCGCCUCCAGGGCCCCGAGCUCCAGCGCGUGACCCUGACAACGCGAGCUGCUGCGCCGCCGCAGCACUGUCCCCGCCGCGCCGUGCCCGGGAAGAAGAGAACCAAGAAUGACAUCCUAGGCUGGAAGCUCAGGCCUGAACAAGAGUUGAGAAACUGA
rnacentral:lncRNA from 1 species